AUACUUACCUGCAGUGGAGACACCAUGAUCACGAAAGUUGUUUUCCCAGGGAGAGGCUUACUAUCCUUUGCAAUCCGGAUUUGCUGACCCCAGUGAUUUCCCCAAAUGUAGCAGACGCAACUGCAUAAUUUGUGGUUGUGGGGGACUGCAUUUGUGCUCUCACUGG